UAAGGAAUAUUGGUCAAUGGACGCAAGUCUGAACCAGCCAUGCCGCGUGGAGGAUGAAGGUCCUCUGGAUUGUAAACUUCUUUUAUUUGGGAAGAAAUGCAUUUUUUCUAAAGUGCUUGACGGUACCAGAUGAAUAAGCACCGGCUAACUCCGUGCCAGCAGCCGCGGUAAUACGGAGGGUGCAAGCGUUAUCCGGAUUUACUGGGUUUAAAGGGUGCGCAGGCGGAUAUGUAAGUCAGUGGUGAAAUCUCUGGGCUUAACCCGGAAAUUGCCAUUGAUACUAUAUAUCUUGAAUGCUGUGGAGGUAAGCGGAAUAUGUCAUGUAGCGGUGAAAUGCUUAGAGAUGACAUAGAACACCUAUUGCGAAGGCAGCUUACUACGCAGAGAUUGACGCUCAUGCACGAAAGCGUGGGGAUCAAACAGGAUUAGAUACCCCCGUAGUCC
rnacentral:rRNA from 1 species